AGGAAAGAGAAAGAGGAAGAGAAGAAGUGGAAGAUGAAAAAAGGAAGAGAAGGAAAGAUUUUGUUGUUUGACAUCCUAUUCCAACACCAAACAACAUCUUUCAUCUUCAUUUUUCUCCUUGAAGAAUGGUGUUUUUGUCGAGAGAGAGGAGAGUCCUUUUUCGAGAUUCUUCUCUUUUGGGCAACCAAAAAAUCGACAAAAAGAAAGACUACA
rnacentral:ribozyme from 13 species